rnacentral:rRNA from 1 species
AUUGAACGCUGGCGGCAUGCCUUACACAUGCAAGUCGAACGGCAGCACGGGAGCAAUCCUGGUGGCGAGUGGCGAACGGGUGAGUAAUACAUCGGAACGUGCCCAGUAGUGGGGGAUAACCCGGCGAAAGCCGGACUAAUACCGCAUACGACCUACGGGUGAAAGCAGGGGAUCUCAUGGCAACAUGCGACCUUGCGCUAUCGGAGCGGCCGAUGUCAGAUUAGCCUGUUGGCGGGGUAAAAGCCCACCAAGGCGACGAUCUGUAGCUGGUCUGAGAGGACGACCAGCCACACUGAGACUGAGACACGGCCCAGACUCCUACGGGAGGCAGCAGUGGGGAAUUUUGGACAAUGGGCGCAAGCCUGAUCCAGCCAUGCCGCGUGCGGGAAGAAGGCCUUCGGUUGUAACGU